rnacentral:rRNA from 1 species
UACGAGGGUGGCAGGCGUUGUCCGGAUUUACUGGGUAUAAAGGGCGUGUAGGCGGGCCGAUAAGUUGGGUGUGAAAUACCACGGCUUAACCGUGGGGCUGCACCCAAAACUGUAGGUCUUGAGUGUCGGAGAGGUAAACGGAAUUCCUAGUGUAGCGGUGAAAUGCGUAGAUAUUAGGAGGAACACCAGUGGCGAAGGCGGCUUACUGGAAGGCAACUGACGCUGAGGCGCGAAAGCGUGGGGAGCAAAC